UUUGAGCAUGUUUAAUGCCAAAUAUUUGUCUUUCAUUUAAUAGUACCAACACACCAUUUUAAAACAGGUUUUGCUGAUAGAGCAGCUGAUUUUAAAUUAACUUUCCAUUUAACAAUGACAGUACUUGUCUCCUUGUUACUCCAAUUGUUUGAUUACUCUCUUGGACAUGUUUACUCUCAGGCAGUUAUCUAAUUACCUGAGGUAAGAACACUUAAUUGGGGAAGUUUUUAAAUUAACUUCCCAUCACAUUGCCUCUCUAGGAGGCCUGGUCAUGGUCUUAUGCCAAAUGCUGCUAUUUUUGCAAGGUGUAAAAUUCUCCACUAGGUGUUUCACAGACAGGGCUAUAAUUCAUUGGAGCUGCCAACUGUGAGGGGUAGAGAAAAAGUCUCCACUUCAUGUACUGCUGUUGCUAGGUGUGAGGUUAAUUUGUAUGCUCCAAAAAGUUAGCCUUAAAAUUAACCAUUAAGGCAGAGAAAGAAUACCAUUAUCCAGGAGAUAAUAACAAAUACUGUGGAAUGAUUUCAUACCUGGAAUUGUAUUAGGAAGGGAGAAAUGAGACAUUUCAGCAUCUACAUGAGUAUCUCAGUUUGGUACCACCUUUCUAUCUGGUAGGGAUCCAAACAUGGAUCAGGAGCACCAUGAAUCUCUGCUAGGAGAGGAGUUUGUUGCUAAGAGUCAGACUGGAAAGUGUCGAUCCCAAAUACUGUCCCAGUUCAUGGUGGGAUUGAUUUUAAGAGUGAAACAGACCAGUCUAGGAGAAAUGGUUCAGUUGACCCCAGAAGAAAAUAUUCCUGUGAGAAAAUGCAGGUGAGGAGAGAUGUUCAUGGUGCUGCUCAUGGAAGCUCGAGGAAAUGUGGAACAGCAGGACCCAAGGGAUGGGUGUGUUUGGCACCACAUUGAGGAUACAUUCAGUGUCUUAUUGGGAGUCCUGAAAAUUUUCUUAAGUUGUCAUCAGGAAAAUAAUUGUCUGGCUACUAAUAAUUUCCUGCUGUGGGGAAGCUGACUGUGGAAAGAAGAGCCUGUUGGAGUGCUGGCCUGGAUUUGGGAGGAGCCAAGUAUCCUGGAGCUGUGAGGUUUUUCCUGUAAGAAAUCUAUGAUGGGGAUGUUUUCCCUGGCUGUCCCGAGGGGAAGGAACAGCUUUGGAGUCUUUGCCAGCCACAGACUGAGGAUGCAUCCCCUGAAAACCGGUUCAGGAUUGUUCAUCUGAAUCUGCCCCUGACCUGUGGCUUCCAGGGACCCUUCUGGUGUUCUGGACAUUCCCAGGAGAGGAUACUCCAACACCAAAAUGGUUUGAGUGUGAAGGGACCUUAAGGAUCACCUCAUUCCAUUCCCUGCCAUUCCAUCCACAGCCCAGGGUGCUCCAAGUCCCAUCCAACCUGGCCUUGGACACUUCCAGGGAUGGAGCAGCCACGAUUUCUGUGGGUUUAUGGGCACAGGAGGAAAUUUCCAGCAGGAACUGAGACGUUUCCUUUGCUCUGUCCAGCCCCAGCAGGGCUUUCGGAGGCAGACAUGGGAACAGGAGCUUUGCCCAGUGCCUCGGGGGAGUCUCUGAUGUCCCAAAACCCAGCAGAGCAAACACUUGUGGUUUAACAUCCCAUUAAAAGGAGAUGCCAAGCCAGGAACAGGAAUGAGCCGCAGAGCAGGGAUGGUACCAAGCACAGGGGUGACCAUCCAGAGGGUCCCACCAGUCCAUCCCUGCUGCCCAGGUUUGGGAUGAGCAGGCUGGUGAUGCCCCUGUGUUUGCUCUGCAGGAUGAGGAAGCCAGCCCUGGUGAGGAGGAGGAUGAGGAGGUGUGGGAGGAUGGAGACAGCAGCCACCAAAGGCUGGAGAAGGCACAGGUCCAGGUAGGAGACGUUGCCUUCCAAAGAGAGGGACCUGUCUGUCCCAUUGGAAUUUGGGGCGUGAGGCAAUGGAACAAAGGAUUUGAUUCCAUUUUCUUACUCGGGAUCUCAUGUGCCUUAGGAGGUAUUUGAGAAAAGCUCAUUAUCCCUGAUGGAAUCUCUGUCAAACAGGGAUUGAAGCUUUCUGAAGUGGCCCAAACCUGCCUGCAUGUAUCCAAAUACAGCCCCUAAUCCCUGUUUUUGUGUACAGCUGGAAUGAGACCUCAACUGCUGUCACUUGCCAGCUCUCAAGUUGUGUAGCUCAGUCUGCAGCCCUGAAGGGCCAGGCUGUGUUUAAACAGCCUGAGGUAGCAGAGAACUGGAGUCAUUUCCUAGCAGGGAACUUGACUUGGAAGCUGCAUUCCAAAUUUCGUCCACAUUUAUUUUAUCUCCCACAUGCAGUCCCUAAAGAAGCAGAGAUGGGGUGUUGCUAACAAAAGAACGUCCAAAUUCAUCGGUGGUAGAGGGCUUAAAGUGUGAGUGGAGAUGCCUUUAGGACACUUCCAAUUCCUUGGUAUAUGAAUGGAAUUUAAAUGAAAUAGCCAAAUCCUGACAAGCUUCUAUGAGCUCCAGAGCCUCUGCAGGUGUUUUACAGCCAGAGACAAGAGCCUGGAGUCUCUCCCCAAAAGCUGCCUGCUGGUUUGUUUGGCCAGGCAUAGGAAAAAUUGUGUAUUCCCUGGGGCUGUCCUCAUGGAGAAAGGUUUAUUUAUGUGCCCUGGGUUUAUUCUCUUCAAAAUGAUGGAAACCGAUUUCACUGAAAGGCCAGAGGUGCCAAAUGCUUUCCCCAGCCAGAGCUCGGAGCCAGCCCUGUGGGAAGGGGUUUAAUGACCCCUUUCCCAGUCCCUCGAGGCAGCAGCACUGGAGCACUUGAGCCAAACGUGCCCGAGGUGCUGAGUGCUGGCAGGAGGCAAAUCCAGGAUUGGGCAGUGGGAGUUUGCACUGCUCCUGUAACCCCAGACCUGGAGCUGUGCUUCAGAAAGCCCAGGAGAUGCUGCCUCACUCAAACCUUGCUUAAAGCUCAGCAUCCCUCCUGCACCCUUGGAGUUAAUGUUGCUUCCAUUGCUGCUAUUUCUUUUUUUGUUUAUAAUAAUUAUGAUUGUUUCUGUAAAUUCCCACUCCAUGUCUUCCACAGGCCUUGGCUUCCCAGAGGUGGUGCUUGAGGAAAGCUCCUCCAGCCUGGGAAGUGCUUUUGGCGCCAGACACAUUCCCAGUGCCCAGGAGCAGCAGGCCCUGUGCUGUUCCCAGCAGGUGAGGCAGAGGUGC